rnacentral:rRNA from 1 species
UACGGGGGGGGCAAGCGUUGUUCGGAAUUACUGGGCGUAAAGGGCUCGUAGGUGGCCAACUAAGUCAGACGUGAAAUCCCUCGGCUUAACCGGGGAACUGCGUCUGAUACUGGAAGGCUUGAGGAUGGGAGAGGGAUGUAGAAUUCCAGGUGUAGCGGUGAAAUGCGUAGAUAUCUGGAGGAAUACCGGUGGCGAAGGCGGCAUCCUGGACCAUUACUGACGCUGAGGCGCGAAAGCUAGGGGAGCAAACGGG